rnacentral:misc_RNA from 1 species
AACCAUAGAAACCUGCGGAGUACCUGCGGAGGGAUCAUUACCGAGUUUACAACUCCCAAACCCCUGUGAACAUACCUAUACGUUGCCUCGGCGGAUCAGCCCGCGCCCUGUAAAACGGGACGGCCCGCCCGAGGACCCUAAACUCUGUUUUUAGUGGAACUUCUGAGUAAAACAAACAAAUAAAUCAAAACUUUCAGCAACGGAUCU